GAGGCCUUAAAGGAACACUAUAGCGUUAGGAAUUCAAAUAUGUAUUCCUAACGCUAUAGAGCCCUAGUCACCUGAACAGUGACUAGGGCCCCUUCUGUGGCAGGUAAAUGGUUAAUUAACCAUUUAUUUGCUUACCUUAAUCCAGCGCCGGGCUCCUUCAUCAACUUCAGCUCCCGAGUGGAGCUGAAUGUGCAUGCCCGGCCAGAGGCGCACGCGCAUUCAAAUCCACCCAUAGGAAAGCAUUACCCAAUGCUUUCCUAUGGGGAUCUUUUUUGACACUGGAGGUCCGUGAGGACGUCCAACGUCAAAUAGGUGUGAUUUACUCUGUGUAAAUCGCGGAAGCGCCUCUAGUGGUUGUCAGGGAGACAACCACUAGAGGCUGGACUAACCCUGCAGUAUAAACAUAGCAGUUUCUCUGAAACUGCUAUGUUUUCAGCUGCAGGGUUAAAACUAGGGGGACCUGGCACCCAGACCACUUCAUUGAGCUGAAGUUGUCUAGGUGCCUAUAGUGGUCCUUUUAUUGCAUAUACUUGAACGCUAAAUCCUUGUUUUGACCUGUAUUCCACAAUAGAAC